rnacentral:RNase_P_RNA from 1 species
ACUACAGGCCGAGCUAUCGCUCUCCGUUUAUGCGGGGGGAGGAAAGUCCGGACAGCGCAGAGCAGUGUACCGGUUAAUUGCCGGGUCCGCUUUUGGCGGAACAGCCAGUGCCACAGAAAAUAACCGCCAGUAAUGGUAAGGGUGAAAACGUGAGGUAAGUGCUCACGAUAUCGCCUGGUAACAGGCAAUAUGGGUAAACCUUGCACGCUGAAAUGCCAUGUAUACCAGUCGUUGAGGGCGGCUCGUCCGAUCCCGUAACCACGGGAAGGCUGGGUGGGUAGGCAGAAAGAUCCUGUCAGUAAUGGCAGGGCCAGAUAAAUGAUAGUUUAGAAACAAAAUCCGGCUUAUGAGCCUGUAGUUUUU